GAGGUAAUCUAGGUAGUGGAGGUAAUCUAGGUAGUGGAGGUAAUCUAGGUAGUGGAGGUAAUCUAGGUAGUGGAGGUAAUCUAGGUAGUCAAGGUAGUGGAGGUAAUCUAGGUAGUGGAGGUAAUCUAGGUAGUGGAGGUAGUGGAGGUAAUCUAGGUAGUGGAGGUAAUCUAGGUAGUGGAGGUAAUCUAGGUAGUGGAGGUAAUCUAGGUAGUGGAGGUAGUCAAGGUAAUCUAGGUAGUGGAGGUAAUCUAGGUAGUGGAGGUAAUCUAGGUAGUGGAGGUAAUCUAGGUAGUCGAGGUAAUCUAGGUAGUCGAGGUAAUCUAGGUAGUGGAGGUAAUCUAGGUAGUGGAGGUAAUCUAGGUAGUCAAGGUAAUCUAGGU